UACGUAGGGUGCAAGCGUUAAUCGGAAUUACUGGGCGUAAAGCGUGCGCAGGCGGUUUUGUAAGACAGAGGUGAAAUCCCUCGGCUCAACCGGGGAACUGCGUCCGAGACUGUCGGGCUUGAGCACGGUAGAGGCUGGUGGAAUUCCCGGUGUAGCGGUGGAAUGCGUAGAGAUCGGGAAGAACAUCGGUGGCGAAGGCGGCCAGCUGGGCCGUUGCUGACGCUGAGGCGCGACAGCGUGGGGAGCAAACAGG
rnacentral:rRNA from 1 species